rnacentral:tRNA from 1 species
GCUAUUUUGGCAAAAAAUGUGACGGAUUUAGAAUCUUUAAAUGUAAUUUAGGUUACAAAUAGUA